GCUUACGGCCAUACCACCCUGAACACGCCCGAUCUCGUCCGAUCUCGGAAGCUAAGCAGGGUCGGGCCUGGUUAGUACUUGGAUGGAGACCGCCUGGGAAUACCAGGUGCUGUAAGCU
rnacentral:rRNA from 1 species